GCUCCGUUCCCGUAGUGGCAGCGGCCCUGGUUCUCAGCCAGGAGGCGGGAGUUCAAUUCUCCCACGGAGUA
rnacentral:tRNA from 1 species